UGGGUGACUCUCAUGAUGAUCUAUGGGUCU
rnacentral:piRNA from 1 species